rnacentral:tRNA from 1 species
UGGGGUGUACCUCAGUGGCAAAGGGCUUGCCUAGCACGCACGAGGCCAUGGGUUCAAGCUCCAGAACCACAG